rnacentral:tRNA from 1 species
UAAGUAAUGAAGUAAAAAUUACAUUUAGUUUCGACCUAAAAUUAGAGUAUUAAUCCUCCUUACUUAU